AUCUUCGGACCUUGCGCUAAUAGAUGAGCCUAAGUCGGAUUAGCUAGUUGGUGGGGUAAAGGCCUACCAAGGCGACGAUCUGUAGCGGGUCUGAGAGGAUGAUCCGCCACACUGGGACUGAGACACGGCCCAGACUCCUACGGGAGGCAGCAGUGGGGAAUAUUGGACAAUGGGCGCAAGCCUGAUCCAGCCAUGCCGCGUGUGUGAAGAAGGCCUUUUGGUUGUAAAGCACUUUAAGCGAGGAGGAGGCUCCUUUAGUUAAUACCUAAAGUGAGUGGACGUUACUCGCAGAAUAAGCACCGGCUAACUCUGUGCCAGCAGCCGCGGUAAUACAGAGGGUGCGAGCGUUAAUCGGAUUUACUGGGCGUAAAGCGUGCGUAGGCGGCUUUUUAAGUCGGAUGUGAAAUCCCUGAGCUUAACUUAGGAAUUGCAUUCGAUACUGGAGAGCUAGAGUAUGGGAGAGGAUGGUAGAAUUCCAGGUGUAGCGGUGAAAUGCGUAGAGAUCUGGAGGAAUACCGANUGGCGAAGGCAGCCAUCUGGCCUAAUACUGACGCUGAGGUACGAAAGCAUGGGGAGCAAACAGGAUUAGAUACCCUGGUAGUCCAUGCCGUAAACGAUGUCUACUAGCCGUUGGGGCCUUUGAGGCUUUAGUGGCGCAGCUAACGCGAUAAGUAGACCGCCUGGGGAGUACNNGGUNCGCNAAGACUAAAACUCAAAUGAAUUGACGGGGGCCCGCACAAGCGGUGGAGCAUGUGGUUUAAUUCGAUGCAACGCGAAGAACCUUACCUGGCCUUGACAUACUAAGAACUUUCCAGAGAUGGAUUGGUGCCUUCGGGAACUUAGAUACAGGUGCUGCAUGGCUGUCGUCAGCUCGUGUCGUGAGAUGUUGGGUUAAGUCCCGCAACGAGCGCAACCCUUUUCCUUAUUUGCCAUCGGGUAAUGCCGGGAACUUUAAGGAUACUGCCAGUGACAAACUGGAGGAAGGCGGGGGCGACGUCAAGUCAUCAUGGCCCUUACGGCCAGGGCUACACACGUGCUACAAUGGUCGGUACAAAGGGUUGCUACCUCGCGAGAGGAUGCUAAUCUCAAAAAGCCGAUCGUAGUCCGGAUCGCAGUCUGCAACUCGACUGCGUGAAGUCGGAAUCGCUAGUAAUCGCGGAUCAGAAUGCCGCGGUGAAUACGUUCCCGGGCCUUGUACACACCGCCCGUCACACCAUGGGA
rnacentral:rRNA from 1 species